CGAACGCUGGCGGCGUGCUUAACACAUGCAAGUCGAACGGAAAGGCCCUGCUUUUGUGGGGUGCUCGAGUGGCGAACGGGUGAGUAACACGUGAGUAACCUGCCCUUGACUUUGGGAUAACUUCAGGAAACUGGGGCUAAUACCGGAUAGGAGCUCCUGCUGCAUGGUGGGGGUCGGAAAGUUUCGGCGGUUGGGGAUGGACUCGCGGCUUAUCAGCUUGUUGGUGGGGUAGUGGCUUACCAAGGCUUUGACGGGUAGCCGGCCUGAGAGGGUGACCGGCCACAUUGGGACUGAGAUACGGCCCAGACUCCUACGGGAGGCAGCAGUGGGGAAUAUUGCACAAUGGGCGGAAGCCUGAUGCAGCAACGCCGCGUGCGGGAUGACGGCCUUCGGGUUGUAAACCGCUUUCGCCUGUGACGAAGCGUGAGUGACGGUAAUGGGUAAAGAAGCACCGGCUAACUACGUG
rnacentral:rRNA from 1 species